rnacentral:rRNA from 1 species
UACGUAGGGGGCUAGCGUUGUCCGGAUUUAUUGGGCGUAAAGAGCGUGUAGGCGGCCAUGUAGGUCCGGUGUGAAAACUCGAGGCUUAACCUCGAGAUGUCAUCGGAAACCAUUUGGCUAGAGUCCGGAAGAGGAGAGUGGAAUUCCUGGUGUAGCGGUGAAAUGCGCAGAUAUCAGGAGGAACACCGGUGGCGAAGGCGGGUCUCUGGGCCGAAACUGACGCUGAGGAGCGAAAGCGUGGGGAGCGAACAGG